rnacentral:rRNA from 1 species
CAGCCGCCGCGGGAAUACGGAGGGUGCAAGCGUUAUCCGGAUUCACUGGGUUUAAAGGGUGCGUAGGCGGAUCUGUAAGUCAGUGGUGAAAUCUCCAGGCUUAACCUGGAAACUGCCGUUGAUACUAUAGGUCUUGAAUUUUGUGGAGGUUAGCGGAAUAUGUCAUGUAGCGGUGAAAUGCAUAGAUAUGACAUAGAACACCAAUUGCGAAGGCAGCUGGCUACACAACUAUUGACGCUGAGGCACGAAAGCGUGGGGAUCAAACAGGAUUAGAUACCCCAGUAGUCCAUGUCUUUAUAAA